AUUGAACGCUGGCGGCGUGCCUAACACAUGCAAGUCGAGCGGUAACAGGUGUAGCAAUACAUGCUGACGAGCGGCGAACGGGUGAGUAAUGCUUCGGAAUCUGCCCAAUGGUGGGGAAUAACCAGCCGAAAGGUUGGCUAAUACCGCAUAAGUCCUACGGGAGAAAGCAGGGGAUCGUAAGACCUUGCGCCGAUGGAUGAGCCGAAGUCGGAUUAGCUGGUUGGUAGGGUAACGGCCUACCAAGGCGACGAUCCGUAGCUGGUCUGAGAGGACGACCAGCCACACUGGGACUGAGACACGGCCCAGACUCCUACGGGAGGCAGCAGUGGGGAAUAUUGGACAAUGGGGGAAACCCUGAUCCAGCGACGCCGCGUGUGUGAAGAAGGCCUGCGGGUUGUA
rnacentral:rRNA from 1 species